AGCGAACGCUGCCGGCAGGCCUAACACAUGCAAGUCGAACGGCUCUUCGGAGCAGUGGCGGACGGGUGAGUAACGCGUGGGAACGUGCCCUUUGGUUCGGAACAACACAGGGAAACUUGCGCUAAUACCGGAUGAGCCCUUCGGGGGAAAGAUUUAUCGCCAUUGGAGCGGCCCGCGUUGGAUUAGGUAGUUGGUGGGGUAAAGGCCCACCAAGCCGACGAUCCAUAGCUGGUCUGAGAGGAUGAUCAGCCACACUGGGACUGAGACACGGCCCAGACUCCUACGGGAGGCAGCAGUGGGGAAUCUUGCGCAAUGGGCGAAAGCCUGACGCAGCCAUGCCGCGUGAAUGAUGAAGGUCUUAGGAUUGUAAAAUUCUUUCACCGGGGAAGAUAAUGACGGUACCCGGAGAAGAAGCCCCGGCUAACUUCGUGCCAGCAGCCGCGGUAAUACGAAGGGGGCUAGCGUUGCUCGGAAUUACUGGGCGUAAAGGGCGCGUAGGCGGACAGUUUAGUCAGAGGUAAAAGCCCAGGGCUCAACCUUGGAACUGCCUUUGAUACUGGCUGUCUUGAGUUCGGGAGAGGUGAGUGGAAUGCCGAGUGUAGAGGUGAAAUUCGUAGAUAUUCGGCGGAACACCAGUGGCGAAGGCGACUCACUGGCCCGAUACUGACGCUGAGGCGCGAAAGCGUGGGGAGCAAACAGG
rnacentral:rRNA from 1 species